rnacentral:rRNA from 1 species
UACGUAGGGGCCUAGCGUUGUCCGGAUUUAUUGGGCGUAAAGAGCUCGUAGGCGGCUUGUCGCGUCGGCUGUGAAAACUUGGGGCUCAACCCCGAGCCUGCAGUCGAUACGGGCAGGCUAGAGUCCGGCAGGGGAGACUGGAAUUCCUGGUGUAGCGGUGAAAUGCGCAGAUAUCAGGAGGAACACCAAUUGCGAAGGCAGCUCGCUGGGACGUUACUGACGCUGAGACGCGAAAGCGUGGGGAGCAAACAGG